rnacentral:rRNA from 1 species
GUGGGGAAUAUUGGACAAUGGGCGAAAGCCUGAUCCAGCCAUGCAGCGUGUGUGAAGAAGGUCUUCGGAUUGUAAAGCACUUUAAGUUGGGAGGAAGGGUAGUAACCUAAUACGUUGCUACUUUGACGUUACCGACAGAAUAAGCACCGGCUAACUUCGUGCCAGCAGCCGCGGUAAUACGAAGGGUGCAAGCGUUAAUCGGAAUUACUGGGCGUAAAGCGCGCGUAGGUGGUUCAGUAAGUUGGAAGUGAAAUCCCCGGGCUCAACCUGGGAACUGCUUUCAAAACUGCUGAGCUAGAGUACGGUAGAGGGUGGUGGAAUUUCCUGUGUAGCAGUGAAAUGCGUAGAUAUAGGAAGGAACACCAGUGGCGAAGGCGACCACCUGGACUGAUACUGACACUGAGGUGCGAAAGCGUGGGGAGCAAACAGGAUUAGAUACCCUUGUAGUCC